GCGGCUCCGGUAGAUUAGGGCCAGCAGGGCACGUGGCUUGGGACCGUGUGGAGAGUGCGGGCGCUGGACAGCAGCUCCGGCCCCUCACCGACGCGCAGCCCGCGCCUGGGCCGACCUGUUGACUGAAAAUCAGCCGGCGCUUGGCCAGAUGCGUCGAUGGAGGCCCGCAGCCCAGCGACGACGUGGUAGUCAUGGCUGAAGCGGCGCCUGCCCCGCCAAAUGCAGAGAAGAGCUCAUACCUCUAUUCCAUAGAAAUCACACUGUGGACCGUGGUGCCUGCUGUUCAGGCCUUGGAGAAGAAAAGUGGAUUCUUGCCUGGCCCGCUUGCUGACUCUGGAGGGAUGCUCAGGGACAGCAGAGAAGAAGCUGGCUGACUGUGAGAAGACAGCUGUGGAGUUCAGCAGCCAGCUGGAGGGCAAGUUGGCCGUGCUGGGGACCCUGCCUCAGGAGUCUAGGCUGCUGCAUGAAGAACCUCAUGGGCAACUGGAACUUCUGGGUCCAGCGGCUUCCCCCUGGCAACAAGGGGGAGGUCCCCAAGGUGCCCCUGACCUUUGAUGACAUGGCUGUAUAUUUCUCUGAAUUAGAGUGGGCCAAGCUGGAGGACUGGCAGAAGAGGCUCGACAAGCAUGUGAUGGGGGCAGCUAUGAGAUGCUCGUUUCCCUGGGUAUUUCUCUGAGUCCAGAGCAGGCCCCAAGUCCAGCUAGCCCUGCCCAGGAGGAACUGAAUCAAAGGCAGACACCUGAGCAGCAGCAAGAGGAAGCAACCAUGAUUCCACCUGAGCCAGGCACUGGGAUUCCAGCAAGCACCAGCCCUUUAUCACUUAAACAGGAGGAAGAAUCUGCAGAGGGAGGAGAGUUGCCACCCUCCCCUUCCACAGAUAGCCUGCUUUCUGUGGAGCCAGACAGAAGCCCCAUCUGAGGAUCAACCUGAGCAGAACCUUCUGCAGUCCUGCAGCCAGUCCGUAUUUAGAGUCCACAGAAGGACCAGGAUUAAGACCAGGGGCCACAGAUGGCAUCACACGGAUUGGGGAACCUCAGGCAGCAGAGGAUAUGGGAGAGCCACCCUGUAUCCUUCCUCAGCCACAGAAGCAGGCAUUCCUGUGCCCUGACUGUGGGCAGAGCUUCUGCUUGAAGAUUAAUCUGACAAUCCAUUAGCAGACCCAUGUAGAAAAGAAACACAAGGAGGCUUGGAGUGGCUUGCCUAUUAGGUCAGGGAAAAGCCACUCCACACUGGAACCAGAGAAAGUGGUGGUGCCAGGCCCUGUCAUCCACUGGCCACCUGAGGAGCCCACAAGCCACCGGUCUCCAACAAGCCAUGCCUUCAUGAGACAAAGGCCAGCAACUACAGUUUACCACUGUAGUGAAUGUCUUCACUCCUUUCAGCAACAGAAGAGCCUGGUAUUACACCAGCAUCAGCACACAGGCAAGAGGCAGAGCUGGCCUGCCUGUCCCUACUGUGGCAAGGCCUCCCGCCGGCCCUCAGACCUCUUUUGUCACCAGUGUAUCCAUACUGGUGAGCGUUCCUAUCAGUGCCCCCAGUGUGGCAAGGAGCCACCACCUGGCUGUCCACAUGCAGACUCAUUCCUGAGGCUAAACAAUCCUGCAUUUCCUCUUGCUUUCUGUCCUCCAGGGAAGUCCAGCCCUGCAAGGGCCCAGCUCUGAACAGGACAGGACCUGCACUGUCUCAGGGCCUUUCCCUUGUGCCUGCCAAGUGGUGGAAGUUCCUUCACUUUCCAGCUGAGUUGGUACUUUAGGGGCCCUUCAAAAGCACAAGCUCCAGACCAGGAAUUUGAGGUGAUAGUGUCAUGCCUCAAAGUCAUGAGAGCGGGUGCUUCAUGUGCCUCUUUGUCACAGCACCUUGGGGACAGCCUUGUGGAGCUUCUGGAGCUGGGUGAUGGAUUCCAAUUCUGAUAGUUUGCUCUCUUGUUUGGCACUCAGACACCAGAGCACAUGAAGGCUCCCAGGUGCCUUCAUCCCUGGCUGUGCUAUUGCUAAAGUCCUGCAGACUCUGUAGCCACUCAGAAGUCCUGCACAGACGAGGCAGAGGGUGACACUGCCGUCAUUCCCAGGGUAGGGGUAUGACUGGCAAGACUGUGGCAUGCAGCCAUGGUUCUGGACGUUACUUGCCUGCACACCCAACCGUUGUUUAGGCCCUGCAAGCAAGACAGCAGUUGUCAGUAAGCGCUCAGACUGAACGUGGACAGUAUAGCUGCCCCAAACUUAAUCCUCCGCUGCAAGCACUCAUGUUGCUGUUCUGGGGGUUCCUAGGCCUCUCUUCUAAUGCUUUAGAUGUUCUCUGGAAAACAAGUAUUCAUAUUUGAAGCACAAAUCCAAGUGCUGGGGUGGGGGAAGAGGCGCUGUAUAAUCCUGGCUCGCCUUGGGCUUGCAGUGAAUUUUUUUCCCCUACCUCUAUCUACCUACUAGGAUUUCCUUGCUUGUGCCAUUAUGCACAACUGGGCUUACUGCAUUUAACCUGAAAUUCAAUAGGACAGGUUAAAGAGUAUUUUGAGUUAAGAAUGAACAAAGGCUGCAUGGUUGCCUGAGCUCAAAGACGUUGGAUCCCAGAUUCUGAUGACUUAUUUUGUAAAACAAAGAUAUGGUUGGGUUGGUUACAAGGCCCUAAGAACCAUGGAGGUGGAAAUAUUAACUUAAUCGGUGCUCUAUAAAUACACUGGAAAAUG
rnacentral:lncRNA from 1 species